AAAUACUUUUCAGAGAUCAGAUCCAGAUGCAGAAUGAAUGUGUGUAAUGUGUGUUGUUGCUAUUUCUCCUGCAGGUGCAACAAGCCAGAACAUCCAUUCCUCUCCUGCCCUCUCACCUGUUUUGAUGGAAAGGACGACAUUCCUCAUGACUUACAAGCGUGGAAAAGCAUCACUUCAGGAGAUUUCACCAUCAGGAUGCUGGAUGGAUCCCAUUUCUACCUGAAGGAUUCCGUGAAUGAAAAGAUCAUUUUAGACUACGUCACAAAGCAGGUGGAAACAUCGGAAAUGGACUAUUUAUAAUUAAAUCUGUGUAAAUCUUUUUUUUAUUAAAUAAUUGUAUAAAAAAAUAUUUCUGGAUGCAUAUGAGAAGUGUAAUAUUGUGUGGUAAAUAUUAAAGAGUGAUUCAUUAAAACGUAAUUGUAAAGUGUUUUACUAAUAUUGUUAAUGUAUGGGUGAGAGUCGCGUAUUUUUUUUUAAAUAACCUUAAUUGCACGUAUUAGGGGUUCUAGUUAUCAGUUGGAUUUAAAUAUGCCAGAUUUAGCUCAAAAAGCUUUUUUUAUCAAAAGUUAUAAUACAAACAAGAGAAGAGCAGCCCAUGUUUAGCUUUUUUAUUGAUAAAUGAAUUAAUCAAUGAUUAUUUAUUUAUCAAAUCAGCUGUGGAUACAUUUUUGACAAAUUAUUUCACAUAUACACAAUGUUACUGACUAUACAAAUAUUUUUAUUUGUUCAAUCUAUAGUUAAAAUGCAUUUAAUUCAAAGUAGUCAGUACAAGUGUUCUGUGCUGGAGGAAUAUAUAAUAUACAGUAUUUGUCAGUUUGCUUAGGCACAGAUGUGUGAAUAAAUAUAAUAUGUCUUUAUCAUACAUGUGACAUUUUUACAAUGGUGUUAUUCAAGUUUAAUAUUCAACCUCAGGCACUGUUCUGUAUGGAAGCCCUAAACUGCCAUCUUCAAACAUUUUAUAAACCAUGUUUUCCUGUAAUAACAAAUUCAAUAAAUUGUAUUCCCAAGUUUGAAAGUUAUUUAUGUUAAUUUCCCCCAAAAACAAAUGUUUUCCCGAGAUAACGAGAUAUGUUGUGUAGUAUUAAACGUAUUUCUUACGUUCUCGAGAAAGUUAUUAUCUCGAUAUCUUUA